rnacentral:rRNA from 1 species
GAUGAACGCUGGCGGCGUGCCUAAUACAUGCAAGUCGAGCGAACGGACGUGAAGCUUUCUUCUCUGCAGUUAGAGUGGGACAGGUGAGUAACACGUGGAUAAAAUCUCUAUUAGAGUGGGGUAAAAUAGGGGAAAAGGACCUCAUAUAGGGCAAUAGUUUUAAUCGCGUGAUCCAAGAGAGAAAAACGGUCUUGCCGUCACUUAAAGAAUGACCUAAGCUGCAUUAGCUAGUUGGUAAGGUAACGGCUUACGAAGGCAACGAUGCAUAGCCGACCUGAGAGGUGGAUCGCCCAAACUGGAACUGGGACACGGCCCAGACUCCUACGGGAGGCAGCAGUAGGGAAUCUUCGGCAAUGGGCGAAGGCCUGACGGAGCAACGCCGCGUGAGUGAGGAAGGUCUUCGGAUCGUAAAACUCUGUUAUUAGGGAAGAACAUAUGUGUAAGUAAAUGUGGACAUCUUGACGGUACCUAAAUAGAAAGCCACGGCUAACUACGUG